AAACUGGAGAGUUUGAUCCUGGCUCAGAACGAACGCUGGCGGCGUGCUUAACACAUGCAAGUCGAACGCGAAAUUUUUCUUCGGAAAGAGAGUAGAGUGGCGCACGGGUGAGUAACGCGUAAGUUAUCUACCUCGGCAUCUGGAAUAACUCACCGAAAGGUGUGCUAAUACCGGAUACGUUGAGUAAUCAAGAAAGGUGGCCUCUGAAUAUGCUACUGUGCUGAGAUGAGCUUGCGUACCAUUAGCUAGUUGGUAGGGUAAUGGCCUACCAAGGCAACGAUGGUUAGCGGGUCUGAGAGGAUGAUCCGCCACACUGGAACUGAAACACGGACCAGACUCCUACGGGAGGCA
rnacentral:ncRNA from 1 species